rnacentral:siRNA from 1 species
AUUAAUCGUGGUGUGCCGGUAUGU